rnacentral:rRNA from 1 species
UACGUAGGUGGCAAGCGUUGUCCGGAAUUAUUGGGCGUAAAGCGCGCGCAGGCGGUCCUUUACGUCUGAUGUGAAAGCCCACGGCUCAACCGUGGAGGGUCAUUGGAAACUGGGGGACUUGAGUGCAGGAGAGGAAAGCGGAAUUCCACGUGUAGCGGUGAAAUGCGUAGAGAUGUGGAGGAACACCAGUGGCGAAGGCGGCUUUCUGGUCUGUAACUGACGCUGAGGCGCGAAAGCGUGGGGAGCAAACAGG